GGAGAGGUGUCCGAGCGGCCGAAGGAACGCGACUGGAAAUCGCGUGUAGGGCCAAAAGUUCUACCGUGGGUUCGAAUCCCACCCUCUCCGCCA
rnacentral:tRNA from 1 species